GCCUCGUUAGCUCAGUUGGUAGAGCAGCUGACUCUUAAUCAGCGGGUCCAAGGUUCGAGUCCUUGACGAGGCA
rnacentral:tRNA from 2 species